CCUACGGGAGGCAGCAGUGGGGAAUAUUGCACAAUGGGGGAAACCCUGAUGCAGCGACGCCGCGUGCGUGAAGAAGUAUUUCUGUACGUAAAGCUCCAUCAGCAGGGAAGAAAAUGCAGGUACCUGUGUCAGAAGCCCCGGCUAACUACGUGCCAGCAGCCGCGGUAAUACGUCGGGGGCAAGCGUUAUCCGGAUUUACUGGGUGUAAAGGGAGCGUAGACGGUGGGCCAAGUCUGGAGUGAAAUGCCGCAGCUUAACUGCGGAACUGCUUUGGAAACUGGCGAACUAGAGUGCGGGAGGGGUAAGCGGAAUGUCUAGUGUAGCGGUGAAAUGCGUAGAUAUUAGGAGGAACACCGAUGGCGAAGGCAGCUUACUAGACCGUAACUGACGUUGAGGCUCGAAAGCGUGGGGAGCAAACAGGAUUAGAUACCCUUGUAGUC
rnacentral:rRNA from 1 species